rnacentral:rRNA from 1 species
GAUAAACGCUGGCGGCGUGCCUAAUACAUGCAAGUCGAACGAAGGUAUGUAGCAAUACGUGCCUUAGUGGCGAAUGGGUGAGUAACGCGUUGGUGACCUACCCCGAAGAGGGGGAUAACAGUUCGAAAGGACUGCUAAUACCCCAUGUGGUUAUGAGAGUUAGAGACUCAUAUCUGAAGGAGCAAUCCGCUUUGGGAGGGGCCUGCGUCCCAUCAGCUAGUUGGUAGGGUAAUGGCCUACCAAGGCAACGACGGGUAGGGGGCCUGAGAGGGUGGCCCCCCACACUGGCACUGAAACACGGGCCAGACACCUACGGGUGGCAGCAGUAGGGAAUAUUGCACAAUGGGCGAAAGCCUGAUGCAGCAACGCCGCGUGAGCGAUGAAGGCCUUCGGGUCGUAAAGCUCUUUUUGAGGAGAUGAGGAAGGACAGUAUCCUCAGAAUAAGGAUCGGCUAACUACGUGCCAGCCGCCGCAGUAAUAC